rnacentral:rRNA from 1 species
GACGUAGGGCGCGAGCGUCGUCCGGAUUUAUUGGGCGUAAAGAGCUCGUAGGCGGCUUGUCGCGUCGAAUGUGAAAACUCGGGGCUCAACUCCGAGCUUGCAUUCGAUACGGGCAGGCUAGAGUUCGGUAGGGGAGACUGGAAUUCCUGGUGUAGCGGUGAAAUGCGCCGAUAUCAGGAGGAACACCGGUGGCGAAGGCGGGUCUCUGGGCCGAUACUGACGCUGAGGAGCGAAAGCGUGGGGAGCGAACAGG